UGGCUCAGUGGAUAGAGCGUUGGCCUGCAGGCCAAGGAUCCCAGGUUCGAUUCCAGG
rnacentral:tRNA from 1 species